rnacentral:rRNA from 1 species
AGUGAACGCUGGCGGUAGGCCUAACACAUGCAAGUCGAACGGCAGCACAGUAAGAGCUUGCUCUUACGGGUGGCGAGUGGCGGACGGGUGAGGAAUACAUCGGAAUCUACUUUUUCGUGGGGGAUAACGUAGGGAAACUUACGCUAAUACCGCAUACGACCUACGGGUGAAAGCAGGGGAUCUUCGGACCUUGCGCGAUUGAAUGAGCCGAUGUCGGAUUAGCUAGUUGGCGGGGUAAAUGCCCACCAAGGCGACGAUCCGUAGCUGGUCUGAGAGGAUGAUCAGCCACACUGGAACUGAGACACGGUCCAGACUCCUGAGGGAGGCAGCAGUGGGGAAUAUUGGACAAUGGGCGCAAGCCUGAUCCAGCCAUACCGCGUGGGUGAAGAAGGCCUUCGGGUUGUAAAGCCCUUUUGUUGGGAAAGAAAAGCAGCAGGUUAAUACCCCGCUGUUCUGACGGUACCCAAAGAAUAAGCACCGGCUAACUUCGUG